UAAGCAUAUCAAUAAGCGGAGGAAAAGAAACCAACAGGGAUUGCCCUAGUAACGGCGAGUGAAGCGGCAACAGCUCAAAUUUGAAAUCUGGCUCUCGGGUCCGAGUUGUAAUUUGUAGAGGAUGCUUUUGGCGCGGUGCCUUCCGAGUUCCCUGGAACGGGACGCCUUAGAGGGUGAGAGCCCCGUACGGUUGGACACCAAGCCUCUGUAAAGCUCCUUCGACGAGUCGAGUAGUUUGGGAAUGCUGCUCUAAAUGGGAGGUAAAUUUCUUCUAAAGCUAAAUAUUGGCCAGAGACCGAUAGCGCACAAGUAGAGUGAUCGAAAGAUGAAAAGCACUUUGAAAAGAGGGUUAAAUAGCACGUGAAAUUGUUGAAAGGGAAGCGUUUGCGACCAGACUUUUUCCUAGCGGAUCAUCCGGUGUUCUCACCGGUGCACUUCGCUAGGUCAAGGCCAGCAUCGGUUUCUGUAGGGGGAUAAAAACCUGGGGAAUGUAGCUCCCUUGGGAGUGUUAUAGCCCCUCGUAUAAUACCUUUACGGGGACCGAGGACCGCGCUUUUUGCAAGGAUGCUGGCGUAAUGGUUGUCAACGACCCGUCUUGAAACACGGACCAAGGAGUCGAACAUUUGUGCAAGUGUUUGGGUGUUAAACCCUCACGCGUAAUGAAAGUGAACGGAGGUGAGAGCCCUUACGGGUGCAUCAUCGACCGAUCCUGAUGUCUUCGGAUGGAUUUGAGUAAGAGCAUAACUGUUCGGACCCGAAAGAUGGUGAACUAUGCGUGGAUAGGGUGAAGCCAGAGGAAACUCUGGUGGAGGCUCGCAGCGGUUCUGACGUGCAAAUCGAUCGUCAAAUCUGCGCAUGGGGGCGAAAGACUUAUCGAACCAUCUAGUAGCUGGUUACCGCCGAAG
rnacentral:rRNA from 1 species